UGCAUAUCUGAAGAGAUAUUAGAGCAACAAGUGGUGUCACUCUUCCCUCCACGUUGUGUUCUUCUGUUGUGGUCCCUAAUGACUCUUUGUACAUAAUGAUUAUUAAAGGUCACUUUAAAAAAAAACAACAACUUCUUCUAAGGUAAAGAACAGGUGCACCAGUGCCAGAGGCUCCUGCAAUGGCAGGGAUUUGAUUAAGUGACAUAUACUCAGAAGUUCCCAGAAAGCCACCCAUGUUCCAUGCUACAGAGGAAAGUGAACUCCAUCUCCCCAAGGUCACUGUCAAUCUGACCCGAGUGAACAUUCCUCGCUGGCCCCACAUAUGGGUGGUGAUGAGUAAGAUCUUGAUCAUGUGAGCAAGACCACCAGCCAAGCACCUGAGAAAGGGAAUUUCAGAACCACCUCACAGCAUUGGUCUACUCUAAGCAGUGUCCCAACUCCAGCUGUGGCAAUUGCUGAUGCUUCAGAGGAAGAAGACAAACCAACACCCCAAAACCCAGAAUAUAUUGAGGAAAAAAUGUCAUUCCUGACUCCUAGAGUUGAUCGGCUGAAGCCAUGAAGCCUGAAGUCAUUUAUUGAUUCUGUUGUACAUGGGAUUUCAUAAGGUGGACUCAUUUGAAAAUAUUUAAUGGAGACAAAUAACAACCAUUUGUGGUAUUUAUAAUAAUCAAACACACACACACUAGUAAUACCUACUGUAUAUUUCCCCAGUCUGAUCUGUUAACCAAGGUGAGAACAGGUGCUUUGUUUCUGGCAAGACUUGUAACUAUAUCUUGUAUAACAUUUUCUAUUGCUCCAAGGAUCU